rnacentral:rRNA from 1 species
AUUGAACGCUGGCGGCAGGCCUAACACACGCAAGUCUGGCGAGCGGCGGACUGGUGAGUAAUGUAUGGGGAUCUGCCUGAUGGAGGGGGAUAACUACUGGAAACGGUAGCUAAUACCGCAUACCUUCAGAUGAACCCAUAUGGGUUUAGCUUGUAGGUGAGGUAACGGCUCACCUAGGCGACGAUCCCUAGCUGGUCUGAGAGGAUGAUCAGCAACACUAGGACUGAGACACGGCCCAGGAUCCUACGGGAGGCAGCGGUGGGGAAUGUUGCACAAUGGGCGCAAGCCUGAUGCAGCCAUGCCGCGUGUAUGAAGAAGGCCUUCGGGUUGUAAAGUACUUUCAGUCGGGAGGCGUUACCGACAGAAGAAGCACCGGCUAACUCCGUGCCAGCAGCCGCGGUAAUUC